rnacentral:rRNA from 1 species
CGCUGAACUUAAGCAUAUCAAUAAGCGGAGGAAAAGAAACCAACAGGGAUUGCCUCAGUAACGGCGAGUGAAGCGGCAACAGCUCAAAUUUGAAAUCUGGCUUCUUUCAGGGCCCGAGUUGUAAUUUGUAGAGGAUGCCUUCGGGUGUGGCCCCGGCCUAAGUUCCUUGGAACAGGACGUCACAGAGGGUGAGAAUCCCGUAUGUGGCUGGAGGUCUAUACCCAUGUGAAGCUCCUUCGACGAGUCGAGUUGUUUGGGAAUGCAGCUCAAAAUGGGUGGUAAGUUUCAUCUAAAGCUAAAUACUGGCGGGAGACCGAUAGCGCACAAGUAGAGUGAUCGAAAGAUGAAAAGCACUUUGGAAAGAGAGUUAAAAAGUACGUGAAAUUGUUGAAAGGGAAGCGCUUGCGACCAGACUUGCCCUCGGUUGAUCAACCGGUGUUCUUCACCGGUGCACUCGGCUGGGGUCAGGCCAGCAUCAGUUCAGGCGGUUGGAGAAAGACCUUGGGAAUGUGGCUCCCUCCGGGGAGUGUUAUAGCCCGUGGUGUCAUGCGACCAGCCUGGACUGAGGACCGCGCUUCGUGCUAGGAUGCUGGCGUAAUGGUCGUAAGCGACCCGUCUUGAAACACGGACC